rnacentral:rRNA from 1 species
CCCUUAGUGCUGCAGCUAACGCAUUAAGCACUCCGCCUGGGGAGUACGGUCGCAAGACUGAAACUCAAAGGAAUUGACGGGGGCCCGCACAAGCGGUGGAGCAUGUGGUUUAAUUCGAAGCAACGCGAAGAACCUUACCAGGUCUUGACAUCCUCUGACAAUCCUAGAGAUAGGACGUCCCCUUCGGGGGCAGAGUGACAGGUGGUGCAUGGUUGUCGUCAGCUCGUGUCGUGAGAUGUUGGGUUAAGUCCCGCAACGAGCGCAACCCUUGAUCUUAGUUGCCAGCAUUCAGUUGGGCACUCUAAGGUGACUGCCGGUGACAAACCGGAGGAAGGUGGGGAUGACGUCAAAUCAUCAUGCCCCUUAUGACCUGGGCUACACACGUGCUACAAUGGACAGAACAAAGGGCAGCGAAACCGCGAGGUUAAGCCAAUCCCACAAAUCUGUUCUCAGUUCGGAUCGCAGUCUGCAACUCGACUGCGUGAAGCUGGAAUCGCUAGUAAUCGCGGAUCAGCAUGCCGCGGUGAAUA